UACGAAGGGGGCUAGCGUUGCUCGGAAUCACUGGGCGUAAAGGGUGCGUAGGCGGGGCUUUAAGUCAGGGGUGAAAUCCUGGAGCUCAACUCCAGAACUGCCUUUGAUACUGAGGAUCUUGAGUUCGGGAGAGGUGAGUGGAACUGCGAGUGUAGAGGUGAAAUUCGUAGAUAUUCGCAAGAACACCAGUGGCGAAGGCGGCUCACUGGCCCGAUACUGACGCUGAGGAGCGAAAGCGUGGGGAGCGAACAGG
rnacentral:rRNA from 1 species